rnacentral:lncRNA from 1 species
AAGUUAGAAAAUAUGCCCACUACCCUUUGUAUGUUUCCCACUCACAUAUGAUGAGAGAAAAUACACUCUAAAUUUUGGCAUCAUAGCAGUAUCUUGCUUCACUGGAGAUCCUGUCUUUGUUUGGUCUUUAUUAUUUUCCCUUAAUUCUUGUGUAUUCUUUCUCUUUUUACAUUUUAUGGUUCAAAAAGUGGGAUUUCACAAUAGGGGGCAAUCCUUAUCUUAUUUGAAUCCUUCCCCAAAAGGACUUGAACUUGUAAGGAGGUUAGAACGUUGACCACUAGGGCUAGUGGUUUAACUGUUUAGUAUGAUAUCUUUGGAGUUGAGACGUAUUCAUGGUACAUAUGGUUAUUAGUUAAAUAAGCUUAUUUAUUCGACCUUUAAAUUUCUGAUUUAAGUCAUUCCUUCAAUCAUGCCACCAAGCUAAAUGUCUGUUUAAGAGUAUGUAUUCUUCUUCCUUAAUGGCUUUGGAUUGAGUAAGUGAGAUUGCUUUUAGAUCAAAUACUAUACUUAAAAGAGUGUGAAAAAAGUUCGAACUUUGUUUCUGUUGAAUUGUCUUGGUAUAUAUGCCUUGUGAAAAAUUAACAAUUCGUUUAGGGAAGCGUAUUUGAAGAGAAUGCUGGUUGAUGUCGUUACAUGGUUUUCUUCUAAUAUGGUUCAGUAGUCCUGUUCAAUGUGGAGGAUCAUGAAGCUGAAUACUACCUACUACAUGUUAGAUGAUAUGCUUCUGGAUUGCUUUCUGAGAUGAAGAAAGACAGUGGGGACUCCUUUUAGAUUCUUGUAUGUUUUGCUGAACAUCUUAUGGUCUUUG